GACGAACGCUGGCGGCGUGCCUAACACAUGCAAGUCAACUUGACUGAAGGAGCAAUCUGACAGUAGAGUGGCGCAAGGGUGCGUAACGCGUAAGUAACUUGCCCAAGGUAAGGAAUAACGUCGAGAAAUCGGCGCUAAUACCUCAUAAUGCAGCGGAUCCGCAUGGAUAUGUUGUUAAAAGGUUUACCGCCUUGGGAUAGGCUUGCGUCUGAUUAGCUAGUUGGUGUGGUAACGGCACACCAAGGCUACGAUCAGUAACUGGUCUGAGAGGAUGAUCAGUCACACUGGAACUGAGACACGGUCCAGACUCCUACGGGAGGCAGCAGUGAGGAAUAUUGGGCAAUGCUCGAAAGAGUGACCCAGCAACGCCGCGUGGAGGAUGAAGGUAUUCUAUAUCGUAAACUCCUGUGAGAGCAGACGAAAGACAGAUAUUAAUACUGGAUGACUGUAUGCUCAGAGGAAAG
rnacentral:rRNA from 1 species